AGUUGGAUCUAUUCGAUUCAUCCAUCCUAUUGACAUCAGAUAUGUGUUUGUGAAAUUUAACAUCGUCAUCAUGCAUCAGGAAUCCACUGGAAACCACCCGAGGGGAAAGAGGAAGCAGAAAGCACUUAGACAAAGCAUUUGGCUGGUCACUGAGGACAUUUGCUCUUGUGUUGAUGAUGCCUGCUUGAAGGGGAGAAACUGGCCAUAGUGACCUCAUGCUGAUGUCGCCCACUUGAAUGGGAAAGAAACUGGCUAGCAUGCCCCUUGCCCCAUCCAUCUGAAGGAGAGAGAGAAAAGACUGCUCUUCAUGCCCACGUGUUGCCAGCCAGAAAGAUGGUACCUCCACUAGGAAAUUCUCUCCUUGCUCCAUUUCAUACCUGCUGCUUUCGGAAUUCCACUCUUCAGGACUGCAGCCCCCAACACUACUCUACCAUCUGCCUUCACCAUUGACAUGCUUGUACACUUUUAACAAAUAUGCUUCUGUUUAUUUUACUGAGAAUAAUCCAUAUGGUUUAUGCAGAAUAAAGUGAACAAGCUUUUAUUUUCUUGGUCCAGCUUACUUAUGAAAGUCUUGAUUGUAAAUUCACAAUUUAAAUGAACAGUAUAUUACUAAGUUAAUUGCACAAUUCUCAUUGACAUCAAUGGAACUUUUUAACCAAUUUAGCUGGAUCUGACCUCUUAUGUCCAACUAAAAGGUUAUGUUUAUAUAUUUCUCCACUGAUUGGGAGUACUUGAUUUGCAGGUUCCUUUGUAAGGACCUGUUAAUAUGGAUCAGAGAGAGCAGGUAGUAAAAGUUUUUGCAAGGCAUUUAUUUAAUCCUAUGUAUGAGAGGCCAGGAGGGA